CCCAGCUGUGGGCUCAGAGGCAGAGCUCUAGGGCGUCUCCACCAUGGCCUGGACCCCUCUCCUGCUCCCCCUCCUCACUCUCUGCACAGGUUCUGUGGAGUCUUCUGAGCUGACUCAGCCACCAACAGCAUCCGUGGCCUUGGGACAGAUGGCCACCAUAACCUGCCAGGGAGAUGAGAUAGAAAGCUCUGAUGCUAGCUGGUACCAGCAGAAGACAGGCCAGGCCCCUGUGCUGGUCAUCUAUGGUGGUAGUGAACGGCCUUCAGGGAUUCCUGAACGAUUCUCUGGCUCCACCUCAAGAAACACGGCCACCCUGACCAUCAGUGGCAUCCAGGCCGAGGACGAGGCUGACUAUUACCGUCAGUCAUUUGACAGUAGUGGUAAUGCUCACAGUGACACAGGCUGA